GAUGAACGCUGGCGGCGUGCCUAAUACAUGCAAGUCGAGCGAACAGAUAAGGAGCUUGCUCCUUUGACGUUAGCGGCGGACGGGUGAGUAACACGUGGGUAACCUACCUAUAAGACUGGGAUAACUUCGGGAAACCGGAGCUAAUACCGGAUAACAUUUUGAACCGCAUGGUUCUAAAGUGAAAGAUGGUUUUGCUAUCACUUAUAGAUGGACCCGCGCCGUAUUAGCUAGUUGGUAAGGUAACGGCUUACCAAGGCAACGAUACGUAGCCGACCUGAGAGGGUGAUCGGCCACACUGGAACUGAGACACGGUCCAGACUCCUACGGGAGGCAGCAGUAGGGAAUCUUCCGCAAUGGGCGAAAGCUUGACGGAGCAACGCCGCGUGAGUGAUGAAGGGUUUCGGCUCGUAAAACUCUGUUAUUAGGGAAGAACAAAUGUGUAAGUAACUGUGCACGUCUUGACGGUACCUAAUCAGAAAGCCACGGCUAACUACGUG
rnacentral:rRNA from 1 species